ensembl:sense_intronic
CUCUGUGGACCAGGCUGGCCUUAACUCAAGAGAUCCACCUGCCUCUACCUCCCAAGGGCUGAGAUUUAAAGUGUGCACCAGUGUACCCAGUGACAGGCUGCUGUUUUAAAACUGUAAGAUUUAUUGGUGCAACAACUGUUGAAAACACACUAUGGGUCCUUAAAACUAAAAGAAGAAAAACAAAAACAAACAAGAGAGUCCACCUGGCCCAGCAAUCUCAUGUAUGUGUACUCACCCUGAGAACUGAAAGUUGCCCGAAGCCACCGGCGCCCACCCCCUCCCAUUCUGGAAGUACUUUUAAGAUAGCCACAAGGGAGAAGCAGGCCAAGUGGCCAACAUGGGUGGAUGCAGAUGAAACACAGCCUAGUCACAUGGUGGAUGCUUCUCAGCCAGCCAUAACACAGGACGCACAGAACAUCCUUGCUCAUGUCAGUAAUUUUGGCACUCAGGAGGAGGAGGAGGAGGCAGGAGGAUCAGGAAUUCAAAUUUAUCCCUGUCUAACAUAUUUUGAGGAUACCUGGGCUACACAAGACCCCAUCUCAGCUGGGUAUUGUGUCAUAGGCCUUUAAUCCCAGCACUUGGGAGGCAGAGGCUGUAGAUCUCUAAGUUUGAGGCUAGCCUGGUCUACAGAGAAAGUUCAGGGAGAGAAACCCUGUCUUAAAAAAAC